rnacentral:rRNA from 1 species
UACGAAGGGACCUAGCGUAGUUCGGAAUUACUGGGCUUAAAGAGUUCGUAGGUGGUUGAAAAAGUUGGUGGUGAAAUCCCAGAGCUUAACUCUGGAACUGCCAUCAAAACUUUUCAGCUAGAGUAUGAUAGAGGAAAGCAGAAUUUCUAGUGUAGAGGUGAAAUUCGUAGAUAUUAGAAAGAAUACCAAUUGCGAAGGCAGCUUUCUGGAUCAUUACUGACACUGAGGAACGAAAGCAUGGGUAGCGAAGAGGAUUAGAUACCCUCGUAGUCCAUGCCGUAAACGAUGCGUGUUAGACGUUGGAAAUUUAUUUUCAGUGUCGCAGCGAAAGCGAUAAACACACCGCCUGGGGAGUACGACCGCAAGGUUAAAACUCAAAUGAAUUGACGGGGACCCGCACAAGUAGUGGAGCAUGUGGUUUAAUUCGAAGAUACGCGCAGAACCUUACCAACACUUGACAUGUUCGUCGCGACUCUAAGAGAUUAGAGUUUUCGGUUCGGCCGGACGAAACACAGGUGCUGCAUGGCUGUCGUCAGCUCGUGUCGUGAGAUGUUGGGUUAAGUCCCGCAACGAGCGCAACCCUCACUUUUAGUUGCCAUCAUUUAGUUGGGCACUCUGAAAGAACUGCCAGUGAUAAGCUGGAGGAAGGUGGGGAUGACGUCAAGUCCUCAUGGCCCUUACGUGUUGGGCUACACACGUGCUACAAUGGUAUCUACAACAGGAAGCAAGACGGCGACGUCAAGCAAAUCCUUAAAAGAUACCUCAGUUCGGAUUGCACUCUGCAACUCGAGUGCAUGAAGCUGGAAUUACUAGUAAUCGUGGAUCAGCGUGCCACGGUGAAUGCGUUCCCGGGUCU